rnacentral:rRNA from 1 species
AUUGAACGCUGGCGGCAGGCCUAACACAUGCAAGUCGAGCGAGCGGCGGACGGGUGAGUAAUGUAUGGGGAUCUGCCCGAUAGAGGGGGAUAACUACUGGAAACGGUGGCUAAUACCGCAUACUAUCGGAUGAACCCAUAUGGGAUUAGGUAGUUGGUGAGGUAAAGGCUCACCAAGCCGACGAUCUCUAGCUGGUCUGAGAGGAUGACCAGCCACACUGGGACUGAGACACGGCCCAGACUCCGACGGGAGGGAGCAGUGGGGAAUAUUGCGGAAUGUGUGCAAUCCUGACGCAGCCAUGACGCGUGAAUGAAGAAGGCGUGCGGGUUUAAAAGUUCUUUCGGUAGCGAGGCGUUAACUACAGAAGAAGCACAGGCUAACUCCGUGCCAGCAGCCGCGGUAAUUC